CCUCUCUCAGGAUUGCACCUGGAGAGUUUCCAGUACUCUACCAGUCUCAGCUACAGAAGGGAGAGUCAAGCAGAGGGGUACCCAUUCCAUGCCUAGAUUGGACAGUGUCGAGUGAGUUGAAGGCAAUCUGCUACAAGU